CGAACGCUUUGUGGUUCAACUGAUUUGAAGAGCUUGCUCAGAUAUGACGAUGGACAUUGCAAAGAGUGGCGAACGGGUGAGUAACACGUGGGAAACCUACCUCUUAGCAGGGGAUAACAUUUGGAAACAGAUGCUAAUACCGUAUAACAAUGACAACCGCAUGGUUGUUAUUUAAAAGAUGGUUCUGCUAUCACUAAGAGAUGGUCCCGCGGUGCAUUAGCUAGUUGGUAAGGUAAUGGCUUACCAAGGCGAUGAUGCAUAGCCGAGUUGAGAGACUGAUCGGCCACAAUGGGACUGAGACACGGCCCAUACUCCUACGGGAGGCAGCAGUAGGGAAUCUUCCACAAUGGGCGAAAGCCUGAUGGAGCAACGCCGCGUGUGUGAUGAAGGGUUUCGGCUCGUAAAACACUGUUGUAAGAGAAGAAUGACAUUGAGAGUAACUGUUCAAUGUGUGACGGUAUCUUACCAGAAAGGAACGGCUAAAUACGUGCCAGCAGCCGCGGUAAUACGUAUGUUCCAAGCGUUAUCCGGAUUUAUUGGGCGUAAAGCGAGCGCAGACGGUUAUUUAAGUCUGAAGUGAAAGCCCUCAGCUCAACUGAGGAAUUGCUUUGGAAACUGGAUGACUUGAGUGCAGUAGAGGAAAGUGGAACUCCAUGUGUAGCGGUGAAAUGCGUAGAUAUAUGGAAGAACACCAGUGGCGAAGGCGGCUUUCUGGACUGUAACUGACGUUGAGGCUCGAAAGUGUGGGUAGCAAACAGGAUUAGAUACCCUGGUAGUCCACACCGUAAACGAUGAGUGCUAGGUGUUUGAGGGUUUCCGCCCUUAAGUGCCGCAGCUAACGCAUUAAGCACUCCGCCUGGGGAGUACGACCGCAAGGUUGAAACUCAAAGGAAUUGACGGGGACCCGCACAAGCGGUGGAGCAUGUGGUUUAAUUCGAAGCAACGCGAAGAACCUUACCAGGUCUUGACAUCCCUUGACAACUCCAGAGAUGGAGCGUUCCCUUCGGGGACAAGGUGACAGGUGGUGCAUGGUUGUCGUCAGCUCGUGUCGUGAGAUGUUGGGUUAAGUCCCGCAACGAGCGCAACCCUUAUUACUAGUUGCCAGCAUUCAGUUGGGCACUCUAGUGAGACUGCCGGUGACAAACCGGAGGAAGGUGGGGAUGACGUCAAAUCAUCAUGCCCCUUAUGACCUGGGCUACACACGUGCUACAAUGGCGUAUACAACGAGUUGCCAACCCGCGAGGGUGAGCUAAUCUCUUAAAGUACGUCUCAGUUCGGAUUGUAGGCUGCAACUCGCCUACAUGAAGUCGGAAUCGCUAGUAAUCGCGGAUCAGCACGCCGCGGUGAAUACGUUCCCGGGUCUUGUACACACCGCCCGUCACACCAUGAGAGUUUGUAACACCCAAAGCCGGUGGGGUAACCUUCGGGAGCCAGCC
rnacentral:rRNA from 1 species